rnacentral:misc_RNA from 1 species
GAUGAAGAACGUAGCGAAAUGCGAUAAGUAAUGUGAAUUGCAGAAUUCAGUGAAUCAUCGAAUCUUUGAACGCACCUUGCGCCCUUUGGCUAUUCCGAAGGGCAUGCCUGUUUGAGUAUCAUGAACACCUCAACUCUUUAUGGUUUUCCCUGAAGGGCUUGGACUUUGGGGGUCUUGCUGGCCUUUAGUCAGCUCCUCUCAAACGAAUCAGCUUUCCAGUGUUUGGCAGCGUCACAGGUGUGAUAACUAUCUACGCUUGUGGUUUUCUGCCAGGUAAUCCUCAGUGAUGGGGAUUCGCUGGGGCUUAUAAAUGUCUCUCCUCAGCGAAGACAGCUUUGUGAACGUUUGAUCUCAAAUCAGGUAGGACUACCCGCUGAACUUAAGCAUAUCAAUAAGCGGAGGA